GUCUAUCACCAUACCACUAUGAAUGUGCCUGAUCUUGGAAGCUAAGCAGGGUCAGGCCUGGUUAGUACUUGGAUGGGAGGCCCUAUCCCAGUAUAUAAUGGAGGGAGCAGCUGAGGAAGACA
rnacentral:rRNA from 1 species